AACGCACAUUGCGCUCUUUGGUAUUCCGAAGAGCAUGCUUGUUUGAGAACCGUUACAUCUCUCACAACCCAACGUGUUGUAAUGACACGAAGGGAACUGUGGAUUUGGGCCUGAUCUCUCUGACCUCACACGUUCGAGAGUGGCCUCAAUGUCAGUUGUUGGCACGUCAUCCUGAUUCGACGUGACAUUCCGACAGACGUUUAUUGAUGCGGGUUUUGAUAUGCCCCUUUCCAUGACGUCAUCAAUGUCGGUUGUCUUUUUCGAUCAGGAGUUUUCUUUGAAUCUUUUUUUGAAGAAUGCGGAUCAACCCACUUUGAACAUGCUGGGCGGGAUUGAGCAAUCGAUCUCGUAAACCCAAUCUUAUGGUCUCAAAUCAAGCAAGAGGACCCGCUGGACUUAA
rnacentral:misc_RNA from 1 species